rnacentral:rRNA from 1 species
AGUCGUAACAAGGUCUCCGUAGGUGAACCUGCGGAGGGAUCAUUACACAAAUAUGAAGGCGGGCUGGAACCUCUCGGGGUUACAGCCUUGCUGAAUUAUUCACCCUUGUCUUUUGCGUACUUCUUGUUUCCUUGGUGGGUUCGCCCACCACUAGGACAAACAUAAACCUUUUGUAAUUGCAAUCAGCGUCAGUAACAAAUUAAUAAUUACAACUUUCAACAACGGAUCUCUUGGUUCUGGCAUCGAUGAAGAACGCAGCGAAAUGCGAUAAGUAGUGUGAAUUGCAGAAUUCAGUGAAUCAUCGAAUCUUUGAACGCACAUUGCGCCCUUUGGUAUUCCAAAGGGCAUGCCUGUUCGAGCGUCAUUUGUACCCUCAAGCUUUGCUUGGUGUUGGGCGUCUUGUCUCUAGCUUUGCUGGAGACUCGCCUUAAAGUAAUUGGCAGCCGGCCUACUGGUUUCGGAGCGCAGCACAAGUCGCACUCUCUAUCAGCAAAGGUCUAGCAUCCAUUAAGCCUUUUUUUUCAACUUUUGACCUCGGAUCAGGUAGGGAUACCCGCUGAACUUAAGCAUAUCAAUAAAGUAAAAGUCG